CGCCACAGAUAAGACUGUGUUGACCACCAUCAACGGCGGCUCUAUCACCGGAUCCGCCGUGCAAACGAAAACGUCGAGCCUCGGGAGAUCGUUACCGUACCUCCGGGAGAGUCUAUCGGUGAAGGUGAAUCGCCAAACCGGAUUCCACCGGAGAGAUUGCACGACUACCCAAUACAAACCGAACCAAAUCUCCACGAUAAACAUAACCAACCAGAUUAAUCUUACCAAACCGGUCCGGUUUUCAUCAAUCUCUGUCGGUACGGUAACUCUGUAGAGCCAAAUACAGCAGAUACAAAAGAAAACCGAGGCUGAGAAAACACGGUACGCUAUCACUCUUCCGGUUUUCCUCCUGGUGUCAAAAAGCGGUUCCCCUUCGUGAACCUGUAUAAACCGGUCGUCUUCUUUUCUCAUCUUUUUUUUGCUUAGCCUCUUGAGUGGGGGAAGUGAUAAAGAUAAGAGAGAAACGUCUCUUCUUGGUUUAUGUAGAGAUGUGAGUGGAGGCUCUAAGCUUGGACAUUUCAAAUGAAAAUAUUCGCUGACGUCACUCAAACCCUCCCUCAGCAAUAGUGAUAUAAGGCUGGGCUGAUGUUUAGAUUUUAGAAAAUGGUUGGUGGUGAAUCGUCAAGGGUAACAAUAUUAAUUUGCUCAUUUUCGAUAUUUGCAAAUGGAUGGAUGUAUAGGGCAAAUCUCCAAAAUAGCACCUUUUUAAGUUUAUAUCACAAAAAUAGCACUCAAAAACUAAAAUGACCAAAAUAACAUUUUAUCUUUUGAAAAAUUUAAAUUUUUUUAAUUUUCAAAAUUUGAAAUCUUAUUCCCAAAACUUCACUUCUAAACUCUAAACCCUAAAACCUAAACUCUAAACCCUAAAUUAUAAACCUUACCCUUUGAGUGCUAUUUUUGUGACUUUUAGACUUGAGUGUUAGUUUGGGAACAAAAACUUGAUUUAGUGCUAUUUUGGUCAUUUUCUCGGAUGGAUGUAUAUAGGAUAAAUUUUCUACAUAAAAGCUGGCAAUUAUUGAAACUCUCUAUUUUUUUUUCCUUACAGAAACACAAUAAAAGUGCAAGCAGAUAAAGCUAAGACAACUGACUUGACUGUCACCAUCACUGGCAUCUUCCCUUUGUCUUUCCUCAACAGCAUGCCUUGGUAUAAAGGCCAGUUUAGUACCACAAGCAAUCCUGUUAUAACAAACUGCAAACCCAUUGUCUGUAAAUCUCCUCCAGCCUCUCUAGAAGUAGUCAUCAUCAGUCUCAUAACCGCUGCGGCAAAGCAGAAGAGAUUGAGCAUGCCGAGUGUUCCGAGGAGGAGAAACAUGGGAGACUCCACUCCAAACUCCAUUACCUCUUUCUCGUAUCUCUCUGCUGCUUCUUCUUCAGCUACUUUCGCUGUGAUCACAAACGCAGACUCCGAAACACCAAGUUUCUUCAGAAGCGUGUCCGUAAAUCCGAAAAGAAAGGAGCUUGUUCUUCUGUAAAGCCACAUCCUUUGCUCGUUCCACCAUCCACGUAAAGUUCCACCGCACCACAAGAACUCGGCUAGGCUGUAAGUAUUAACUGCGAUAGCCACGUAACCAAACGGGAUAACCCACCAGCUCCAGACCUUUGGAAACAGAGGGAUGCCUUUAAAGAGACAGAGAGAAGUCAAAAGAGAGUAAAGAAGCACAGGUACUGAGCUUGGAGCCCAGAGGCAAUAGCAACAGUAACCAAGGAUCAAUCCAAAACUGAUCUUUCCUUGGGCAUACCAAACCGGACUAUACUCUGAAAGCAGAAUCUGAAAGUCUCCCUCUGACCAUCUCUUCUGCUGCACGAGCAUCUGAUGCAAAUUAGUAGGCGCUACCCCAAGAAAAGCUUCCUUUUUAGGGGUCAGGUAAGCUGAUUUCCACCCGCGGCAUUGAAUGGCUAAACCGGUAAUUACAUCCUCUACCGGGCAACCGUAUUUCACCCCCAUCUGCCAUGGUAACAACGUUUACUUGUGGUACAAGAAACAGAUUGAGUAAGUGAAGACUUAUUAAUCACUGCCUUACCUCCUUUCCCCAUUCAGAGCCUUUUUCGUAUGUGCAGCUUGCAAGAGACUUAAUCUUCUCAGCCUCUACAAUUUCAUCUUCUUCUUCUUCUUCCUCUCCAUACUUUCUUCCACAGAUAACAUCUCUUCUGUGAAAGCAGCCUGUCCCAAUGUAUAACGGUCCACCAUUUCCGUCCAAUCCAUUAAACUCCACCUUUGUUUUCACAUCCCAAAUGACAAAAGGUUAGGUAGCAGCAGAAUCAAUAAUACUAUCAAAGCAUCCAGAAUCCUUACAUGUGCUAUUACUCGCAUCAUGCUUCCGUACAAAUCAUUCCUUGUAAGAUUAUCAUAAAACUGUGGGAACUGCACGAAAGCAAUCUCUUUUCCCUCUUUCUCAUCAAGUAGAAUGCAGAGCGCUUCGAGUGCUGACUUUGAGUUGUUUGCGUACAUAUCACAGUCCAAGUUAAGUAUGAUUCUCCCACACGUGAUCUUCGAAGACACCCUCAGCUGUCAGAGAAACAACCAUAUCAAAAGAAUCAGAGCAGCGUAGUAGUAUCGGAGAAUGGUUAUAUGACUUGUUGAACACGAAACCGUUACCAAUGCGUUCAUGGAACCAGCUUUGUAGUGAUGGUGAUGCUCAGGUCUCUUCUCUCUCGAUAGGUACACCAGUGUUGGUAUUGCUAUUGUGUUCUCUUUUCUUCCGUCUAUCAAAAUCUGAUGAAUGAAACAAAUAAACUCAGACUCUGUUUCUAACAGAACAUAACUAAAAUACUUACUUGAAGAAUGGUUGCGUGGUUUCUUUGAGUGGCGUCAGAAUCCCACUGCGAAAACCCCUCACGGCACUUCAACCGCGCCUCCUCGGGUACUCGCCGUAGUUUCGUCGCCGUUUCAAUCCUAGCCGCCAUCUCUCUAUACAGCUCAGCCACCUCGGAGUCAAGAACAUUUGACUUGGAAGAAAAGUAAGCGCCAGGGGAUCUCGGCUCCACGUCGAAUCUCUUACAGAACGUAACCCAUGUUUUAGCAAACUCAGCUGCCUCCGCGAGAGCGUAGAACGUGAGCUGAGAGCCACCGUCGUCCGAGAGAUACACCGCUAGUUUCUCCGGUGGGUAAUCGAGAGCCAUCACGGAUAACACUGUGUUGACCACCAUCAACGGCGGCUCUAUCACCGGAUCCGCCGUGCAAACGAAAACGUCGAGCCUCGGGAGAUCGUUGCCGUAUCUCCGGGAGAGUCUAUCGGUGAAGGUGGAUCGCCAAACCGGAUUCCAACGGAGAGACUGCACGACAAGCCAGUACAAACCGAACCAGAUCUCCAAAAUUAGCAUAACCAACCAAAUUAACCGAAAGAAACCGGUUCGGUUCUCAUCUUU
rnacentral:lncRNA from 1 species